UUUAACUUGAAUUUUUUACAUGAUUUUUGCCUGAAUUUCACAGUAAGGGGGAGUUUCCAAACCAUCUAUUCUAUUAACUAUGGUGGGAGUGAACACUCCAGGCCCCUGCUGGACCAAAACUUUGAAAAGUUUAGAGCCCCCCUUCAGUAUAUCGAGAACUUUCAAGGCCCCCCCCCCUUUAAUACCAGAAAUAUUUCGGUGCCCCCCCUUGACAUCUUCAUCCCCCCCCUCUUGGCAUAAUAAAUGUUUAACUAGUAGUCGAGUCUGUAGACUUUAAAUCCACACUCAGAAAUAUUAUGCAGAUUUCAAAUUUGUUCCAUCGUCUACUCUUUAAUUAACAUAUUUGCCCACCCAAUGGUAUUCACAAACCAUUCUCAUGAAAAGUUCAAAUCCUACCAGAUAUUGAUGGGGAGGGCAGGUGAAGUAAGCAACCAGUCCAAACCAAUUAAUAGUAAUUAAUUCUAGAAAACCUUGUACAAACAUUUGUAAAAUGUAAAUAUAGGCAAAGAACAAAAUUAUUAGCGCAAUUUGGUUCAGUGACCAGGUUCAUAUAACCACGGAUUAACUUUGAAAAUGCGAAUCGAAUAAUCAAUGCAAUGCCAACCAUGAGGUAUGAUUUUAUUAUAUUAUAUUGGCUGUUAAUAAUUUGUGGUACAUUAAACGUUCAUAUUAAUAUACUGGGUAACCAAAUUCAGAAACAAGUUGGUUAUCGAUCAUUG